GUCGGUUAAUAUAAUCCCGUUUGCACGUUAGCUAAGUCAUUAUCAGAAGUUCCAUUUCGGUAUCUCCUGUAAUCAACUUCACUAAUCGGCAAUGCAAAAAAUACAUAAAUUUAGUUAGUAGAGGAUAUUUACAUGGUUACUGGUACCGUCAAAUGGUUUAACGAAGCAAAAGGUUAUGGGUUUAUUACGCCCUCCGAUGGCAGCCCCGAUGUAUUCGUACACUUCUCCGCGAUACAGGGUUCAGGAUUCAAAACGCUGAACGAAGGUCAAACUGUACAAUUCGAGAUUCAGAAUGGGGCAAAAGGCCCCCAGGCCACCAACGUAGCACCGGCCUGAUACAAUUCUGCACCGGCCAACCAUAGGAUCCGGCGGACUGCCGGUUCCUAUGGU
rnacentral:sRNA from 1 species